rnacentral:rRNA from 1 species
UACGUAGGGGGCAAGCGUUGUCCGGAUUUAUUGGGCGUAAAGAGCGUGUAGGCGGCCAGGGAGGUCCGUUGUGAAAACUCGAGGCUCAACCUCGAGACGCCGAUGGAAACCCCCUGGCUAGAGUCCGGAAGAGGAGAAUGGAAUUCCUGGUGUAGCGGUGAGAUGCGCAGAUAUCAGGAAGAACACCCGUGGCUAAGGCGGUUCUCUAGUACGGUACUGACGCUGAGACGCGAAAGCGUGGGGAGCGAACAGG